CUUGGUGUAUAGGUGUGCCUGACGACGGUGUAGCGCAGGGGCUCGAACCAGACAUGGAAGAGCGACUUGACUUAGGGCAGAUUAUUACAUGCGGCCCAGGCCUGUCAUAAACGCGUUUAAAAUCGACGUAUCCGUUGAUUUACACACAUGGUAGUUUUUCGUCACAGAUUAACAAAGAAGUGAUAGUUUUCGACACAAAUUCGUAAAGUGAUAGCUUUUGAUUAAAUACUCCCCUAUCUAUGUAAGAACUACCUCUCUACGUAAGAACUACACACAAACUUUAAUUUUAGAAUGGAUUUCCGUUUUACAACCAUGAGUACAUGACGUACAUGUUACCUCAGAUAUCCAUAAGUGAAUACUGGCUCUGUUUUUUUUCUAACCUAGGGUAUCAUAGCGCCCUUUUUGACCAACAAAUUAUUCUACAAUCCUCAUCCUCUAGUACCCCAGAAAAACCAUUUUCCGGACUCGUCAGAAUGUAAGUCCAACGACAACUUGUAUUUAACUUAUAAUUAUACGUGGACUCGUGUAAAUGAGUAUUCUGGCUCUUGCAAUGGUGAUCUUGGUUUUAUCUUUCCAUCGGGGAAGAAUUGAUAGGCUCUUUCCGGCGGAGGAAAAAUGGUAAAUUCAGUCCCCUUUACAGACUUAAUCGGCUUGUCUAAGUGUGGACCUUUUCUUUCAAAUUUUCUUUUUACAUUUUACAAUAAUGAUCUCUCUCUCUCUCUCUCUUCCUCUUCCCCGCCACUAACUGUCAUCUACCCUGACCAGCUUUUCAUGUGGAAACUUACCCCAGUCAAUCACUUACACCCUUUAUCCAGAUGAAACACAGAGAUAGAGAAGAAUCAAGUAAUGCCAGCUCUCAUGUUUGACACGUCUUUCAUGAUGCAAUGGACUUGGAGUGAUGGUACACAUGAGAGAACUAGUGUACCAUGUAUACUAAUUAAGUGCGGUCUCACGUUUCUAUUUGGAAGUUGGAGACUAACCUAAGCAUGCAAGUAGGAUGAUCACAUGUUUCUGUUGUUUCCAGUCACAUGAUUAAAUACACAUUUCUUGAAUGACUUGCUCAGCAACUUUUUUUUUUCCUUUCCUAAAAGGAGCUAUUGAAGAUAAGACGUACAAAAGUUCUAUAUAUACUCCACCAUCUUGGGAUGUCAAUGUGAGUGUGAUAUGAAUUCAGAUUUGCUCCCCUCUCAGUCCGUCCUAGGCACAUCUAAAACAUUGGAGGAAAACAAAUAUAUGCAUCCUCUCCUCGCUCUUCAGUGAUGUGAGUCCAUUCGUCCCACCACUCAAUUUGUGUAAUGGGAGCCUGUAUCUACACCAUUGGGGAGUGAGUGCACAUUGUCGCAAUCCGAAGCCGCACCGGAUUUUCACAGUCAUCAUCGUCUAUGCUUUGGCUAUCAACGAGGUUACGGACAUGACUUUCCGCACCUUGGCCAUCAAAAAGGAGCGAAGAGGCGCGUCGUGCAGAAGUCUUAAUAUGAAGACACACAUGUUCUGAUAUCUGUGUUGCCACAUAAGGUUGGGAAGGUCGGUUGAUGAAGAAAUGUACCAGUUUUCAUAGGAUUGCUUUUCAGAAUUUUAGUACGUUAAAUUUCAGAGAGUCCGGUUAAUAUACUUAUUUUUUCGAGAACCGGCUAAUAUACUUCAGAAUCCCAAUCUCGAAUACAUCGAGAAGGCGAUUAAUAAUCUUUUGGUAGGAACACUAUUUUCCUACUCAGGCUACAAAAGUAACAACAAAUUUACAGUUGGGUGUAUUUUCUUUUCAGAGAGGUAUUCUGUUCUUGAUGUGAUUAAUGUUGUAUAGUACUCAUGAUGAAACACUGCAAAUUUGUACGUACCAAAUGAAUUGUUUCAUGUGAAA
rnacentral:lncRNA from 1 species